rnacentral:rRNA from 1 species
GCCAAAUACAUGCAAGUCGAACGCACAGCGAAAGGUGCUUGCACACUUUCAAGUGAGUGGCGAACGGGUGAGUAACACGUGGACAACCUGCCUCAAGGCUGGGGAUAACAUUUGGAAACAGAUGCUAAUACCGAAUAAAACUUAGUGUCGCAUGACACAAAGUUAAAAGGCGCUUCGGCGUCACCUAGAGAUGGAUCCGCGGUGCAUUAGUUAGUUGGUGGGGUAAAGGCCUACCAAGACAAUGAUGCAUAGCCGAGUUGAGAGACUGAUCGGCCACAUUGGGACUGAGACACGGCCCAAACUCCUACGGGAGGCUGCAGUAGGGAAUCUUCCACAAUGGGCGAAAGCCUGAUGGAGCAACGCCGCGUGUGUGAUGAAGGCUUUCGGGUCGUAAAGCACUGUUGUAUGGGAAGAACAGCUAGAAUAGGAAAUGAUUUUAGUUUGACGGUACCAUACCAGAAAGGGACGGCUAAAUACGUGCCAGCAGCCGCGGUAAUACGUAUGUCCCGAGCGUUAUCCGGAUUUAUUGGGCGUAAAGCGAGCGCAGACGGUUUAUUAAGUCUGAUGUGAAAGCCCGGAGCUCAACUCCGGAAUGGCAUUGGAAACUGGUUAACUUGAGUGCAGUAGAGGUAAGUGGAACUCCAUGUGUAGCGGUGGAAUGCGUAGAUAUAUGGAAGAACACCAGUGGCGAAGGCGGCUUACUGGACUGCAACUGACGUUGAGGCUCGAAAGUGUGGGUAGCAAACAGGAUUAGAUACCCUGGUAGUCCACACCGUAAACGAUGAACACUAGGUGUUAGGAGGUUUCCGCCUCUUAGUGCCGAAGCUAACGCAUUAAGUGUUCCGCCUGGGGAGUACGACCGCAAGGUUGAAACUCAAAGGAAUUGACGGGGACCCGCACAAGCGGUGGAGCAUGUGGUUUAAUUCGAAGCAACGCGAAGAACCUUACCAGGUCUUGACAUCCUUUGAAGCUUUUAGAGAUAGAAGUGUUCUCUUCGGAGACAAAGUGACAGGUGGUGCAUGGUCGUCGUCAGCUCGUGUCGUGAGAUGUUGGGUUAAGUCCCGCAACGAGCGCAACCCUUAUUGUUAGUUGCCAGCAUUCAGAUGGGCACUCUAGCGAGACUGCCGGUGACAAACCGGAAGGAAGGCGGGGACCAACGUCAGAUCAUCAUGCCCCUUAUGAACCUGGGCUAACCACGUGCU